AAGAUCAUACUUUCAGGGAUCAUUUCUAUAGUCUUUGACUUGAGAAAUAUCGCAUGGGAAAGUGAUCGGUUACUCUAACCACGAUGAAGAGAACUGAUGUUCCCUUCGAGAGCAGAAGCGGGCAGUGAGUGAUGAUGCAUUUCAUCCGCUCCAAAGGGAAUUGAUGACCGUUCCAUGCUCUCUAGUGGAGCCUGGAGGUAGGGAUCAUGAUCAGAGUGGU
ensembl:snoRNA U3 Small nucleolar RNA U3